rnacentral:tRNA from 1 species
GCGCCGGUGGUGUGAUGGCGUAGAGCAUUCCCGCCGGUCAGGGAAGGUGCGGGUUCGAGUCCCGCCUGGCGCU